AAUUGCAAUCCAACGUUGGAAAGAAAAGAGGAAAAAUUGGCAGGGACGCCAUAUGAAGGAGGCAUAUUUUUUCUCAAUAUAACAUUUUCUAGUGAUUAUCCGUUUAAACCUCCCAAGGUAAUGCUACAUAACACUCGGAUCACUGACGAUCACCAAGUAGUCUAUUCAUGAUAUUUGUCCUUGAACAACAGGAUUUCCUAUAUCUUGCUUAAUUUUUAUUUUGGAAUAAUGUAGUCUAUGGAUUAUGAUUGGUGGAUGGCCCUUUUCCUUAAUUAGAUAACUUAAGAUUUUGAUAUUUUUUAAUACAUUCUGGGCUAAAAUCAAAAGGUUCAUCUAGCAAGUGUUAACAUUUCACUCUUAGAGGGCCUUGGGCUUUUAGCAUGUGGCCAGUUCCACCUAGACAUACCUUUGCAAUUCUAUCCAUAAGAAGGAUAAGUAAAUCCAGUUGUAUGUCAACUAGGAAGUUCUGAAUUACAGUGUUUGGUUUGAAUUGCAUUUACUUAGAUUGUAAUGUAAGUUCUAUUGAAUGCGACUAAUAUUUGUGAAAUACAAAAUUUUCAAGUUUUUGAAUUACAAUCGAGUUUAUUGGAGUUCUCAUACCAGAAUAUUUUUCAAAAGUAUUCCUGAGGAUUAACUUUGGGGUAUAAAAAAUGGUUACCUCUCUUGGUCUCAAUCCUCAAGUCAUUAUGAUUCUCCCAUACACCUCACCUUUUUCUUUCGUCCUCUGUAUAAUGUUCAUUGUUCUCCCUCCUUUUAAUAUUGACUUUUGACCCCAGGCUUGCAGGUAGUAUUUAAGCCUUUGUUUGGAGCCGAUUUUUUAGGUCAGAAAAAUUCAUUUUUGACCGUUAUCUUUCCAAAUGGGUUCCAACCGUGAGAGACAAAGUCAACAAAAAUGACUUAGACAGGUGACCAACGGUACAAAAAUUCAUCUUUUUCCCCUUAAAAUCGGCUCCAAACAGGGGCCAAGGGCAAUGUUAGUUUGGAUAUCCUGAAAGAUGGCUGGAGCCCUGCUCUGUCAAUCUCAAAAGUGCUACUUUCACUCAGAUCAAUAUUUACGAACCCUGCACCUUUUUUUGGGACCCUUGUGUACUUUUACAACAAACUUCUUAUACAAGGAAACAACACUGUGCUUCUCGACUUUCUGCACCAAUAUUGGUUGAUUUCGUAAUGAAUUGGAUGUCAUCUAACAAAUUUCAUAUAUCCUUCACAUAGACCUUUUUCUUGAUUCUUCCUUCUAUGGUUUCCUCCAGGCAUGCAUCCUUGAUCUUAUUUGAUUGAGAAAACAGCAGCAGAGUUCCCUUGACCUUCAAAAUGGAUCAUUUUAGUCCCCAACCUUUCACUUUUAUAGCACCCUUAGUCCCAAAGGACAUCUGCCAUCAAAAAGGUUAAAAUACAAUAUAGAUUGCUUGGUCGAGAUGGUUAUCUCAUUUCUGGGAAUGAAAUUCUCGUUCUUAUCUUUGCAUGCUUCUGGCAUCCAAAAGAGGCCUAAAUGUUUCACUGGCCUGAUGAUUUCCUACUUUAAUGACCAAUGAAAAGGAGGCAAUGAAGGCAGUUUUAAUUUUUUAUUUGUAGUUUUAGCUGCUGCAGAUAAAUCCCUCUUUCCGGGUAUUGCCCACAUGUACUUAGCAGACGGAGUGAAGCAUGCACACGAACUAGCAGCAGAGUGGAUUCUACGAUUUGCAAGGUAGAAGUCAUGAUGUUGAUUGAGGAUAUACUAGUGCUGUAAGUGGAAAAUCAAUGGUAAACCCAGUAAACCUAUCGCCUAAUUGUGGUGUUUCCAUAUCUCGAUGUUCUCUUUAGGUUAAUAUAUCGUGUUUAUGACUUGUAUUGUAGAUCAUCUGGAUCAAUAUAGGUUACUGUAUUAUGAAAUUUAGUACUUGGAUACUUUUAAUGUCCUUCCUAUGAAACCUAAUGUAGUCACAGCACAAUGUUUUUGUC